UGAAAGCAGGAACUUUUGAAGCUGCAAUUGAGAUUUCUUCACCAGUUUGUGGGUUGCGACCUUUACGAGCUGCACGUUCACGAACUUCGAAGUUACCAAAACCGAUAAGUUGUACUUUAUCGCCUUUUGCAAGGAAACCUUCAAUUGC
rnacentral:snoRNA from 1 species